rnacentral:rRNA from 1 species
AUGGUGAAGGGGGGGUGCGACCACCGCUGCUUGCGCCAGGGCCGAGGUCGGGGAGGCCGCCGGGCUCGUCGUCGCUGCUGCCGCGCGAGUCCACGACGCCCCGGGUCCAUCUCCCCUUCCCCGCGUCCGCAGCGUGAGGCCGUCGACCGUAGAGCCACCCCGCGGCUACCCCAUAGCCGUCGACAGCGACGCCCAUUGUCGCUGCGCCACCACCGCCCCCGGCGGAGACAGAGGAAUCAGGCCGCGCGCGCCGCAAUUCGGACGGACGAACGCUUCCCACGAUCUGGAUUUAUCUUUGGGAGGGAGGGUUUUCUUGAAAAAAGACCAGCCUAA